ACUCAUAGUACUAUAAAUACCCCUGUUGUUUCUUUCCUACCAAAUUCUCUUCCUCUUAACUAAACCCCUGACUCACUCACUCACUGCUUCUCCGACGAUCAACAUCGCCGUCGCCCGUCGAGAUUGCGGCACGGUGAAGACGACGGUGGCACUUCUUGGUCCGCAACAUUCACUGAUGGGUUUCUUGAUUUCAGUACCAAAUGCCGGGUUUUGUGGAGAAGGUUUUCUUUCAUCUUCUUGGAGCAGGGCACACGGGGAUGCCUAUAUGCGAAGCAUUAACUCAGAUAGAGCAGCAGCUUAUCAUGUACGACGUGGUGCAUGUGAAGUACUAUGCUGAGCUUGUGCGAUUUCAAGAACCCCUGAAGUUGGAUAUUAGCUUUUCAGAUCACAACUCCGCUUUCAUCUUCGUUUUGACCUGUUAUCAGGUGUCGUGUCUUUUAUUCUCCCCUCAUUUUGCUGCCAGUAGUGAUAUAUUCUAUAGUUUUUAUGUGUUUGUGUAGAGUACAAAGCAAGACAACAUGAGAUUUUUAUUGUGUCUUAGAUAGGAGGAAGUCUGGGUUUGAAAAUACAAGCUUUAGAUCUGGGUACCAUAUCUUGUGUAGGCUGAAUGUCAGACAAAGAAGGAUAAGCAAAAAGUCUAGGUAAAAAAAAAAUAGAAAGUGAAUAGAUUAGAUUAGAUGGGGAGGAAGAAAGAGAAGUUGGUGUAAGACAAUGAGAAGAAAGUAAAAUAUGGAAAAGAGGAGGAAACGGUGAAGAUUCAAGUGAACCAUUAGGAAUUAAAGGAGCAGGGAUGAUGCGUUGCAAAAGGAAAUUUGGACUCAUAAAAUUUAACGUUAAGAAGUUGGUGAAUGUUAAAGGAGAAAAAAGUGGAACAUGGGAAUGAGAAGAAGAUGGUGAAAGAUAAAUAUAAGGAUGGGUAGUAGAAGGAAAGGAGGAAUCACACCAAAUUGAGUGGUAGUUGGUGAAUAAGUGAUUUUUUAAGGAGGUAAUGUGGUGAAAGAAGGAAAUUUGGAUUGACGAAAUUUCACAUCUCUAGAGAAUUAGAAAGUGGAGUAAGAGAUGUUGAUGUAGAUGAAUGAGACAAUGAGUAGAAGGAAGUGAAACAUGGGAAGGAGGAGGAAAAGGUGAUGAUUUAAGUGACCAUUUAAGAUUUGAUGAAUGACUUCAAGGUGUGUAUUAGUUGGAGAAGAAGUGGGGAAAUAAUGAAAUUUGGACUCAUGAAAAUUAACAUCUCUAGAGAACUUGAAAGUGGAAUUGGAGAUGAAAUAGAUUGGGGAGGAAUGAGAAGUUGGUGAAAGUGAAAGAGGAAAAUGAAGUGAAACAUGGGAAGGAGGAGGAGGAGAUGGUGAAGGUUCAAGUGAACCAUUACAAAUUGAAGGAGCAAUUUAAGGAUGAGCGUAGGAGGAGAGAAGGAAUCACUCCAUGGUCAUUAAUGGUAGAAGAAGUGUAUUUUGAAAGACGUGAAGUGGUGAAAGAAGGAUAUUUGGACUUAAGAAUUUUUAGAUCUCUAGAGAAUUCGAAAGUGAUAUAAGAUAUGAAUUAGAGAUAUGGAGGAAGAAGACGGAGAAGUUGAUGAAUGUGAAUGAAGAGAAAGAAGUGAAACAUGAGAAUGAGGAGGAGAUGGUGGGGAUUCAAGUGAACCAUUAAGAAAUCAAGGAGCAGUAAGGAUGGGCUGUAGGAGUAUAGGAGGGGUCACUCUAAGGGGAGUAAUAGUUGGGGAAGAAGAAUGAUUUUUGGCUGAGGUGAAGUGGUGAAAGAAAAUAAUUUGGACUCAUAAAAUUUAUUAUUCUCUAUGGAUGGAAUAUGGGACAAAUUAGAUGGGGUCAAAGAAAAAGGAGAAGUUGUGAAAGUGAUUGGGUAGAAGGAAGUGAAACAUGAGAAAGAGGAGGAGAGGGUGAAUAUUCAAAUGAACAAUUAAGAAUUGUAGGAGAAGUAUAAGGAUGAGCAAUAGGAGGAGAGGAUUAACUCCAAGGUGAUUAAUAGUUGGAGAAUAAUCGAUUCUUGAAGGAGGUGUAGUGGUUAAAGAAGGAAAUUUGGACUCAUGAAAUUUUACAUCUCUAGAGAAUUAGGAAGUGGAAUUGGAGAUCGAUUAGAUUAGGAGGGUAGGAAGAAGGAGAAGUUGGUGAAGGUGGAUGAGGAGAAGAAAGAGAAACAUGGGAACAAGGAGGAGAGGUUAAAUGUUAAGGUCCACUAUUAUGAAUUUCAUGGAGCAUGACAAGGCUGAGUAGUAGGACGAGAGGAAGAAUCACUUCACGGUGAGUUAUUGCUGAAGAAGAAAAUGUGAUUUUUAAAGGAGGUGAAGUGGUGAAUGAAGGAUAUUUGGACUGAUGAAAUUUUACAUCUGUAGAGAAUUGGAAAGCUGAAUAAGAGAUGAAUUAGAUUAGAUAGGGAGGAAGAAGAAGAAGAAGAAGAAGUUGGUGUAUGUGAAUGAGAAGAGGGAAGUGAAACAUAGGAAUGAGAACGAAAGAGUGAAGUUUCAAGUGAAUCAUUAAAGAAUUGAAGGAGAAGUAUAAGUAUGAGUAGUAGAAGGAGAGAAGAAAUCCCUCCGAAGUGUGUAACAGAUUGAGAAGUAGAAGUGAUUAUUGAAGGAGGUGAUGUGGUGAAAAUAAGAUAUUUGGAAUCAUGAAGUUCAUUAUCUCUACAUAUGGAAUACGAGACAAAUUAAAGGGAGACGAAGAAAAGUGAAACACGGGAAAGAGGAGGAUUGGUUGACAAUUCAAGUGGACUAUAUAAGGAUGAAAAGUAGGAGAAGAGGAGGAAUCACUACAAGGUGUGUAAUAGUGAAAAAGAAGAAGUAAUUUUUUAGGAGAUGAAGUGUUGAAAUGAUGAAAUUUGGACUCAUGAAAUUUUGACAUCUCUAGAGAGUCAGAAAGUGGAAUAGGAGAUGAAUUACAUGGGAGGAGGAAUAAGAAGAAAAAGAAGUUGGUGAAGGUGAAUGAGGAGAAUGAAGUGAUACUUGGGAAGGAGGAGGAGAGGGUGAAGAUUCAAGUGAACCAUGUGAAUUAAAGGAGCAGUUGGAGGAGAGGAGGAUCCAAAAUGAGUCAUAUUUGGAGAAGGAAAAAUGCUUUUUGAAGGUGUAAGGGUGAAGAAAGGAAAUCUGGACUCAUUGAACUCGACAUCUCUAGAGAAUUAGUUGGAGGAAUAGGAGAUGGAUUAGAUUAGAUGACGAGGAAGAAGAGGAUGGAGAAGUUGGUGUAGGUGAAUGAGGGGAAGGAAGUGAAACAUGAGAAUGAGGAGGAAUCAAUGAAUAUUUAAUUGAACUAUUAUGAGUUGAAUGGGAAGUUUAAGGAUGAAUAGUAGGAGAAGAGGCGUCGCUUUGAAUUAUAGUAGAAGAAGUGACUUUUGAAAGAGGUGAAGUGAUGAAAGAAGGAAAUUUGGACUCAUGAAGUUUAUGAUCUCUACAGAUGGAAUAGAUGAGGACAAAGAAGAAGAAAGUAAAGAUGUGAAGGUGAAUGGGGAGAAGUAGUUUAGGUGAAUGGGUAAAAAGAUGUUAAACAUGAGAAAGAAGAGGAGUUGGUGAAGAUUCAAGUGAACCAUUAAGAAUUGUAGGAGCAGUAUAAGGAUGAGCAGAGAGAGGAGAGCAAGAAUCUCUCCAAGGUGAGUGAUAAUGGGAGAAGAAGCAAUAUUUUAAGGAGGUGAAGAGGUGAAAGAAGAAAUUAGGACUCGUGAAAUUUAACAUCUCUAGAGAAAUAGGAUGUGAAAUAGGAGAUGUAUUAGAUUAAAUGGGGAGGGAGAAGAAGAAUGAGAAGUUGGUGUAGGUAAAUGAGGAGAAGGAAGUGAAACAUGGGAAGCAGGACGAAAGGGUGAAGAUUCAAGUGAACCAUUAAGAAUUGAAGGAGCAGUAUAAGGAUGAUAAGUAUGAGUAGAGGAGGAAUUAAUACAAAGUGAGUAAUUGUUGGAGAAGAAGUGACUUUUUAAGGAGGUCAAGUGAUGAAAGAAGAAAAUUUGGAAUUAUGAAAUUUAAAAUCUCUGGAUAAUUUGAAAAUGGAAUUUUAGAUGGAUUAGACGAGGAGAAAGAAAAAAAAAGGAGAAGUUAGUGACGGUGGAUGAGUAGAAUGAAGGGAAACAUGGGAAGGAGUAGGAGAAGGUUAAGACUCAAGUGAUCCAUUAAGAAUUGAAGAAGCAUUAUAAGGAUGAGUAGAAGGAGUUGAGGAAUUACUCCAAGGUGAGUAAUAGUUAGCAAAGAAGUGAUAUCUGAAGGGGGUGAUAUGGUGAAAGGUGUAAAUUUAGACUCACGAAAUUUAGCAUAUCUAUAGAAUUAGAAAGUGGAAAAAGGGAUUGAUUAGAUCAUAUGGGGAGGAAGAAAAAGAAAUAAAAGUUGGUGUAGAUGAAUGAGGAGAAUGAAGUGGAAUAUGAGAAGGAGGAGGAGAGGGUGAAGAUUCAAGUGAUCUAUAUUAAGGAAUUGAUGGAGCAGUGUAAGGAUGAGCAGUAGGAGGAAAGGAGGAAUCAAUCUAAGGUGAGUAAUUGUUGGAGAAGAAGAAGUGGUCUUUAAGUACGUGAAGUGGUGAAAGAAAAAACAGUAGGACUCAUGAAAUUUAACAUCUCUAAAGAAUUAGAAAGUGGAAUUAGAGAUAGAUUAAAUGGGGAGUAAGAAGAAGAAUGAGAAGUUGGUGAAGGUGAAUGUGGAGUAGAAAGUGAAACAUGGGAAGGAGGAGGAGAAGGUGAAUGUUAAGCUCCACUAUUACGAAUUAAAGAGCUUUAUAUGACUGAGUAGUAGUAGAGGAGGUAUCACUCCCCGGUGAGUUAUGUCGGUAGAAGAAACUGUGAUUUUUAAAGGAGGUGAAGUGGCGAAUAAAGGAUAUUUUGACUUAUGAAAUUUUACAUUUCUAGAGAAUUUGAAAGCUGAAUAGGAGUGGAAUUAGAUUAGAUAGGGAGGAAGAAGGAGAAGUUGGUGUAUGUGAAUGAGAAGAGUGAAGUGGGACAUGAGAAUGAAAAGAAAAGAGUGAAGAUUCAAGUGAAUCAUUAAGAAUUGAAGGAGCGGUAUAAGUAUGUGCAGUAGGAGGAGAGAAGGAAUCACUCUGAAGUUAGUAAUAAUUGGAGAAGAAGUGAUUAAAUAAGGAGUUGAUGUGGUGAAAAUAAAAAAUUUAGACUCAUGAAGUUUAUAAUAUCUAGAGUGUUAUGGAAUAUGAGUUAACAUAUGCUGGAAAUUUCAUUAAUGAUGGAGGCAUUUACACUCUGUUCUACUGACUGCUGUGAAGAUAGGGUAGGUAUAUCAUAUUGAAAUUGAAAGUUGUUAAGUUUUCUAUGAUAACUUUGUAACUUUUCAUUAUGAAAGUGAACUUGCCAUUGGAGUGUCUUGAUGAAGAUCACACCAGUUUCGUGUCAUAUUUCUACGUCUGAAAGUUCCUCUGGUAUGAAGGUUGGUGUGUGGGCAUCACUACUUUAAGCUUCAUCGCUUGUUUCUUGUCC